GGGCGGGUCGUCUAGCUGGACUAGGAUGCCGCCCUUACGCGGCGGAGGUCGUGGGUUCGAAUCCCACCCCGCCCACCA
rnacentral:tRNA from 1 species